rnacentral:tRNA from 1 species
GUGGCUGGAGAGAUGGCUCAGUGGUUAAGAGCACUAACUGCUCUUCCAGAGGUCCUGAGUUCAAAUCCCAGCAACCACA